rnacentral:rRNA from 1 species
UACGGAGGGGGCUAGCGUUAUUCGGAAUUACUGGGCGUAAAGCGCACGUAGGCGGCUUUGUAAGUAAGAGGUGAAAGCCCGGAGCUCAACUCCGGAACUGCCUUUUAGACUGCAUCGCUUGAAUCCAGGAGAGGUGAGUGGAAUUCCGAGUGUAGAGGUGAAAUUCGUAGAUAUUCGGAAGAACACCAGUGGCGAAGGCGGCUCACUGGACUGGUAUUGACGCUGAGGUGCGAAAAGCGUGGGGGAGCAAACAGG